GCCCGCGUUUCAUUAGCUAGUUGGUAAGGUAAUGGCUUACCAAGGCUUCGAUCAGUAGCCGACCUGAGAGGGUGAUCGGCCACACUGGAACUGAGACACGGUCCAGACUCCUACGGGAGGCAGCAGUGGGGAAUAUUGCACAAUGGGGGAAACCCUGAUGCAGCAACGCCGCGUGAGCGAUGAAGGCUUUCGGGUCGUAAAGCUCUGUCCUGAGGGAAGAAUAGAUGACGGUACCUUAGGAGGAAGCCCCGGCUAACUACGUGCCAGCAGCCGCGGUAAUACGUAGGGGGCAAGCGUUAUCCGGAAUCAUUGGGCGUAAAGGGUGCGUAGGCGGCCAGAAAAGUCAGAGGUGAAAGGCUACGGCUUAACCGUAGUAAGCCUUUGAAACUAUUUGGCUUGAGUGCAGGAGAGGAAAGUGGAAUUCCUAGUGUAGCGGUGGAAAACGUAGAUAUUAGGAGGAACACCAGUGGCGAAGGCGAC
rnacentral:rRNA from 1 species